UACAGAGGUCUCAAGCGUUGUUCGGAUUCAUUGGGCGUAAAGGGUGCGUAGGCGGCGCGGUAAGUCGGGUGUGAAAUUUCGAGGCUUAACUUCGAAACUGCAUUCGAUACUGCCGUGCUUGAGGUCUGGAGAGGAGACUGGAAUUUACGGUGUAGCGGUGAAAUGCGUAGAUAUCGUAAGGAAGACCAGUGGCGAAGGCGGGUCUCUGGACAGUUCCUGACGCUGAGGAACGAAAGCUAGGGGAGCAAACAGG
rnacentral:rRNA from 1 species